rnacentral:rRNA from 1 species
UGCAAGUCGAACGGUAACAGAAGGCAGCUUGCUGCUUUGCUGACGAGUGGCGGACGGGUGAGUAAUGUCUGGGAAACUGCCUGAUGGAGGGGGAUAACUACUGGAAACGGUAGCUAAUACCGCAUAACGUCUCAAGACCAAAGAGGGGGACCUUCGGGCCUCUUGCCAUCGGAUGUGCCCAGAUGGGAUUAGCUUGUUGGUGGGGUAACGGCUCACCAAGGCGACGAUCCCUAGCUGGUCUGAGAGGAUGACCAGCCACACUGGAACUGAGACACGGUCCAGACUCCUACGGGAGGCAGCAGUGGGGAAUAUUGCACAAUGGGCGCAAGCCUGAUGCAGCCAUGCCGCGUGUAUGAAGAAGGCCUUCGGGUUGUAAAGUACUUUCAGCGGGGAGGAAGGGAGUAAAGUUAAUACCUUUGCUCAUUGACGUUACCCGCAGAAGAAGCACCGGCUAACUCCGUGCCAGCAGCCGCGGUAAUACGGAGGGUGCAAGCGUUAAUCGGAAUUACUGGGCGUAAAGCGCACGCAGGCGGUUUGUUAAGUCAGAUGUGAAAUCCCCGGGCUCAACCUGGGAACUGCAUCUGAUACUGGCAAGCUUGAGUCUCGUAGAGGGGUGGUAGAAUUCCAUGUGUAGCGAGUGAAAUGCGUAGAGAUCUGGAGGAAUCCUCCAUGGCGAAGGCGAGCCACCUGGACGAAGACUGACGACUC